AUUGAACGCUGGCGGCAUGCCUUACACAUGCAAGUCGAACGGCAGCACGAGGCAACCUGGUGGCGAGUGGCGAACGGGUGAGUAAUGCAUCGGAACGUACCUUUCAGUGGGGGAUAACGUAGCGAAAGUUACGCUAAUACCGCAUAUUCUGUGAGCAGGAAAGCAGGGGAUCGCAAGACCUUGCGCUGAUUGAGCGGCCGAUGUCAGAUUAGCUAGUUGGUGAGGUAAAGGCUCACCAAGGCGACGAUCUGUAGCGGGUCUGAGAGGAUGAUCCGCCACACUGGAACUGAGACACGGUCCAGACUCCUACGGGAGGCAGCAGUGGGGAAUUUUGGACAAUGGGGGCAAUCCUGAUCCAGCCAUGCCGCGUGAGUGAAGAAGGCCUUCGGGUUGUAAAGCUCUUUCGGCCGGGAAGAAAUCGCACGGGCUAAUACCCUGUGUGGAUGACGGUACCGGAAUAAGAAGCACCGGCUAACUACGUGCCAGCCGCCGCAGUAA
rnacentral:rRNA from 1 species